ACUGGGGAGGGGGGGUGUCCUUCAGCCUGGAUUGUGAGAGGGCGCAGGCCAGGCUGAGGGACCCCAUUGGUGCAUG
rfam:Myotis brandtii contig163914, whole genome shotgun sequence.